CAGCCGCCGCGGUAACACGUAGGUCCCGAGCGUUGUCCGGAUUUAUUGGGCGUAAAGCGAGCGCAGGCGGUUAGAUAAGUCUGAAGUUAAAGGCUGUGGCUUAACCAUAGUACGCUUUGGAAACUGUUUAACUUGAGUGCAAGAGGGGAGAGUGGAAUUCCAUGUGUAGCGGUGAAAUGCGUAGAUAUAUGGAGGAACACCGGUGGCGAAAGCGGCUCUCUGGCUUGUAACUGACGCUGAGGCUCGAAAGCGUGGGGAGCAAACAGGAUUAGAUACCCCAGUAGUCCCUGUCUCUUAUACA
rnacentral:rRNA from 1 species